rnacentral:scRNA from 1 species
GUGCAGUUGAGGGUCCAAUGAUCAACGCAUUC